GUCGAGCGCGAACACCUCCUUCGGGGGGUUAGUAGAGCGGCGCACGGGUGAGUAACACGUGAGUAACCUACCCCCGGAUUUGGAAUAACCUUGGGAAACUGAGGCUAAUGCCAAAUAAGCCCACGGCCUCUAUGAGAGAGUGGGAAAAGAGGGCUUCGGCUCUCGUCCAGGGAUGGGCUCGCGGCCCAUUAGCUAGUUGGUGAGGUAACGGCCCACCAAGGCUUUGAUGGGUAGCUGGUCUGAGAGGAUGAUCAGCCACACUGGGACUGAGACACGGCCCAGACUCCUACGGGAGGCAGCAGUGGGGAAUCUUGCGCAAUGGGCGAAAGCCUGACGCAGCAACGCCGCGUGGGUGACGAAGGCUCUUGGGUCGUAAAGCCCUGUCAGGGGGGAAGAAUGUCCAUGUGGUUA
rnacentral:rRNA from 1 species